UACAGAGGUCCCGAGCGUUGUUCGGAUUCACUGGGCGUAAAGGGUGCGUAGGGGGCCUGAAAAGUUUGAUGUGAAAGCUCAGGGCUUAACCCUGAAAUGGCAUUGAAUACUGUCGGGCUGGAGGUUUGGAGGGGGGACUGGAAUUCUUGGUGUAGCAGUGAAAUGCGUAGAUAUCAAGAGGAACACCAGUGGCGAAGGCGAGUCCCUGGACAACACCUGACACUGAGGCACGAAAGCUAGGGGAGCAAACAGG
rnacentral:rRNA from 1 species